UCUGAAGUACGUGCAUGUUUUGUACGAUUUUCCUUUCAGUAAAUGUAGCGACGUAUUUCAUAUAAAGAACAUACUUAAUUCUUCUUGAAAAAAUUCUCUUGACAUGAUAUAAGCCUUUAUUUUAUGUCUAACACCAUUUGUGUUCCAUCAGUAACUUUGAAAUCUGGUGGUACAACCACACAUGGGCAGUCCCCCUACAUUUAUAUCACAUUUUAGAUCAGAAAGCUGCUGUGGAGUACAUGUUGUGAAUUGUAUGGGAACUGUUGAAUCACGGCCUGAACCUCUAAUUGACCACCUGAGGACAAACCUAGAGGUUUCAUCCCAAAAGAACAAACUUCUAGCAAAAGGCAUGGAUUAAGGAAAAAAGCUCAGGUUGGCCAGAAAUGGUGGAAGAAAGUCAAGAACAUUAAGAUAAAACAUAAGGCAAAGAAGAGAGUGAAUCUGCCUUCUGUAGCCCUGUACUCCCACUCCAGUCAGUUUCUACAUCAACUGAUAGGUGGGGAAGAGGACAUAACAGAACGAAAGCCAAGAAGAAAAUUGCAGCAAAGGGAUGGAGGAGUGCUGCUUAACCGUCUGUCUCCUGAAGUCUUCAGAUGGUGACUAGAUGCCUACAGAUAAGACAUUUUUUUAAUCAAGAAGUUAGAGAACUCCCUAGCAGAAAUGACAUGGAGUGAGUCAUAUGGUAGAUCAGACCAGAUCAUCUAAGAAAAUAUUCAGUCUUUCAAAUAUGCAUCCCUUUGAAUUCAGGUAAUAUUUUUUCCCCCAAGACAAGAGUCAAAGACCAGAUCUUCCUUAAUCAGAUGUUUCAGUGGGAAGAGAAGCUUUAGGGGACCUACAUGACAUUUUAAAGAGACCUAAAUAUUAGAGUAGGGGUAGGACAACUUGGCAGGAGAUGCUGAUUGAAAUUAUGGCUUCAUUGAGCCCAAGUGGGAAUUUGAAUUCAGGGGCCUAAGUUACCACCCAGUGUGUCAAUGGGAAAACUGCCAGUGUAAAACUGAGGGGGGAAAAAAAAAAAAAUGGUAUGAGAUGUUUGGCCUCAGGAAACAAAAUAGAAAUAAUGAGAGUCCCUGUUUCCCACCUCCCCUCAAAAAAAAAAAAAAAAAGAGAUGAGCAAAAUGGAGAAUGACACCAGAUUCAAUGAUCUGUCUCAGCACAAGCUAUGUGUAAGGCAAGAAGCUCUUCUUUUCUUCUAAUACAUAAGAUCAAUAAUGGAGGGUCUGAGAAAUCGCACAGAUUGAACACAACAAGGUCAGGUAUUGAGUUCACAGAGCCAUGGAAUAGUUGAGGUUGGAAGGGACUGCUGGAGAACUCUUACUCAAGCUGGGUCACCUUGCACAGCUUCCCACCACUCUGUCCAGGUGGUUCCAUCCCACAGAAGCAUCCAAGGACAUAUUCUGCUCUUCAGUAAAAGCGUGAAAGAUCAUUGCUCCUCAUCAAAUCCCAGUAGUGAUGCUAUGAGAUCUUUCUUUUAGGUGUAAACUCUCCUCCAGCUCUCUCAGUGCUGCUCUUUCUCACAUAGCCAUGGUUCUUCCAUGGCAAGAUCGGUUUGACUUGUGGAAAAAUAAUAAGCCCACAGUUGUUAUGAGAGUCAGGGCAGAGCAUAAUUCUAAUUACAGGAAGCAGAAGCAAGAGGGGGGAACUUUUGGAGUGUUUUAUUGUAAUUUAAGUAGGUUUCUAAGAUGUGAGAAGCCAGCAAUGUUGUCAGAGGUUACAAGGAGUUUUCAUGCAAUCACAAAUUCAUAUUUCUCUGUCCUAACACACAAUCUGGGAGAAGGGCAGCCAGAGGUAAGUGACAGAACCAGGAGGAGGAAGCGAGCUGUUAGCCGGCUCUGGUUUGUCUCUCCUUCUUAUCAGAUCAUAACUUCACAGUAGCACUUCCACUGCAAACUCCUUGUAGCCCUUCCAGAUUAACUUUCAAGCCUGCCUCCCUAACCUUGGGAAAUUUUAGACAUGCAAGAUCAGCUAACAAGGCAGGGGGAAGUUCUUUUGUCUGCAGUGGGAUCUUUCCAUGCUGCAGCUCGGCUUCCUUUACAUACAGGCCCUACUGAUUCCCCAGAGAGAUGGAGUAAACUAAUUGCUCAUCUGCUAUUAGGAUCAUCCCAAAAAAGAUUAAGACUGUGAAUGUUUGAUGGGCACAUCUCUGUCUUUUCUAGUUGGCUAAGAUUUCCUCUGCUGGAUGUGUAUGUCAGACUUCUACAAAAUCAACCCCCGCUCAACUACUCUGAGCUGGUAGGCAUCCUAAGUAAUGCUGUUGAAUAAACUGAAGUAAUUUGGGAUACAAUUUGGCAUAAGAGAUCACAAUUACUCUGCUGAGAUUAUUCCAGCAUUACAUCCACUUAUGAAACUACAAAAGAAAUCUGUCCACUGGUAAGUUUGAAUUAUUGUUUUAAUUUAUUUUUUUUCGCUUGUCAACCAGCUUUUCCAACGUUUUAGCUGAUAUUUCCUCCUUUAAUCCAUCUGGGGUACAAUUGAUUAUUUUUUUCUUACAGUUCCCAGGGCAGAGUGAAGAAAAUGGGCACCAAUUUAGACUGUCUCUGCCAGGAAACAUAUAAUAAUGCUGUCGUUUCUAAGAAAACUCUGCAGCAGCAGGCUCAGACAGCUACGAAGUAGAGCACAUGCAUGGAUUUGUCAUCCUGCCUUACUCUUAAACAACAUUAGCUUCUUUGUCAAUUGUGAGAAAGUGAGGGAAAACCCCUUGGAGGUGUGCCACACAUUUAUUUGUUCCUGAGCUCUUAUAGCAAUGUUGGCUACAACACAAUCCUUUUUUUAGAAAAGAAAGGUGAUCAUCUGUGCAACUUGUUCUGAAAAGUCAACAGACGUGGCAAGAAAAUGCAUUUCUCAAACACAUGUUGACUUGUGACAUCCAAGGACAGGAUGCUUGUGACCGCACAUAUCCGAUGUUCAUGGCAGAUCAUGAGUGCUGCUGCCUGUCCCUUUCAGCUCUGCUUCUGGUAUGAAUAAGUCAUCCAGCAUGGGAGCAUGCAUGGGCUGGAGGUGCUCUGCUACUCCAACAUGGAAUGUUGCAAGCUCCAGCAAUUAGGUCAGCAGAAACAUCCUUUUGUUCUUCUAAAUCAAUGUUAGCAAUGUUUCAAAUUGCCUUCAGAUAAUCCCAUGCUGCCCCAUCACAGCUGCCUUGCUGUUUGCGUUGAUGUUGUUGCUACUCAUGGAGUGUGAGAAUGAGGACAAGGAAUAGUGCUGCCGUAAGCUGUGAUGGCAAAACACAUUUCCCUUUAGAAACAAAUGUCGCAAGUGGUGGAUGAAAUCUAGCAGAGUGACGCACUUCCACAUACAUUAGCACAUACUUUGCCAAAAUAGAACCACUCUGUUUUUUAAGGAGAAUCUCUGCAAGGAUAGGGGGAGAAAUACUCCUCCCUCCUUCCUUUGCGGUGUGUUAAGAAGGCCCCAGAUUUCCCCACUCUCCCAUGUGUUUCUAGAAAUUCAUCUUCUAUGAAAGCUGCAGGAAGUGCUGACUGUCUACUUCCAGUGUGCCUGCCCAAAGGGAGACCUCUCUGCUGGAUCCCAACAAGAGGAGAUGACAAACAAGACAAGCGCAUUUCGUAGCACCCAUGACUCAGAUGGAGCAGAUCAGCUCUUCAGCUAUUGCUUCAUUAACCAAGGCUUGUUUGCUACAGACAUCACCAUCAAGAGUUUCCAGAGAUGCCACUGAAAGGUGUCCAUAUGUGUGCGGUGGGGAACCUGGCCAGCUCGCAGAGCCGCCUCUCCUCCAAGAACUGCAUACUGAGGCAAAUUCCCAGCUUAUUAAAAAAUAGUUUUGUUAUUUUGCCAUCUUGUUUGUUCUGUAGUUCCACUGUGCUUUUACCCUUUUACCCUUCUCUCCUUCUUAUUUUGCUUCUGUCUUUUGAAGAAAAAAAAAAGAAGAAAUGGUAAAGAAAGAGAAAACACAAUUAAUUCCUAAAUAUGUCUUUAUUUUAGGCUUCUCAGUGUUGCAGAAAAAGCCACUGUUGCUUCCAAACUGCUAUAGGAACUGACAGGAGCGCUCCAUAUCCAGGUGCUGACUGACCACUGAAGAGCAGUUUGUAUGAAGAGCCUCAAAGGAGCUUCCAAAAGAAACUCAAAAACCUUGAGCUUGAGCCAUAAACAGAAUCGUGCUGGCUCGGUGUUUCAGCAAGUCCUGGUCUUACCUCGAUUCCUUGACCUGAAUCAUGACACAUGACAGCGAUAACCAGGAUAUGCUCAUAAAACAGCCCUGGGACAGUCAGCUGUCCUUAUUCCAAAAUAAGGGCUGGAAAUUCAGCAGCAAGCCCUGAUUCAGGAAAGACUGCUUUCUCUUGGAUUUCCUUGCAUGCCAGGAACAAACUGAAAAGCCAGGACCUCGCCUUGACUCACACAUACAGGUUGCUUUGUUAAACAGUAUCAGAGUUUCACCCCAUUGCUUCUUCUUCCGGAAGCAAUGAACCGACAACUUUAAGAUGAAAAGCUGUACAAACUUGUACAAAUAAAACAGUUCACAGCACAGUUUGCAGAGCUUUCAUUCAGGACCAAAGAUCUCUACUCUGACUCGCACCAAGGCGCUUUCAGUAUUCCUCUUCCACUCCAUAUUCUUAGUAAUAAUUCCCACUGCUUUACCUCCUACUGGUCUACCUUAAGAGCAAAUAGUUUUCCAGAUUUCCAGCUGCUGAAUCUGAGGACCUUUUCUCUGUCAUAUCUGUGUAGUUUUUGCAAUCUCACAUUCACAAACUGCUCUGUUGGGCACGGAAGCUUGCAUUUCUUCAUCACCUUUGGAGGAUUCUUUCUGAGAUACUGGAGAGGAAUACCAUACAGUUCUGAAGGAGAAUGAUGCAUGCGUGCUUCACACAGUGAAACAGAGCCCUCACAACAUGCCCUUUGCUCAGCGCUGCCCUCUAUAAAGCAAAUCUCAGCGCCUUUGCAGUGUAAUUUAACAUUUUUGUUGGCCUACAUAGAGACCCAGUAUGGACACAAAUCUGUUCUGGUUUGCACUUCAGAGAGGUAGAACCCUUUAUUCAUUGAAAUUAAAACACUAUAAAAAUAGCAUAAAUGAAGGCAAUCUAACCUCCUCUAUUCCAGUAAAGGCAAUUAGUUUGUAAAAUGAGGGGCUAUUAUCUGCUCUUGGAAGAACCUAUAGCUUCCCAGUUGGGUAAGUUUUGUUCAAGCUGUGAAGGCAAUACACUCCCAUGGCAUUUCCUUUCUUGGUUUCCUUAUUUCACAUUGGCAGAAAAGCAUGAUGGAGAGAAGAUCCAAAGGGAAAGCAACUUUGUAGUCCAUAGCCCAGUGUAGGUGGGCAUGACUAUCCAUUUCUCCGUGGUCAUUUUUUGAUUGGAACAAAGUUAGUCAAAUUAACUCAUCGAAGAGGUGCUGCUUUACAUGUGGGACUAAUUCAGAAACCAGGGGAGGGAGCUACUUACUUCCUGGAUGUGAAUAAAGCUCCAUUCAUUUAAUGGAGUUGCACUAAUUCACCUCCUCCAAGGAUUUGCUCCUGUUCUCAGAAAUAUCAGCUCACAGUAGUGGGUGCUCUGGCAUGGAGUUAGGGAUGCCUGAAUAUUGUCCCAGCUAUUAAGUGAUGAUAUUAAAAAUAAAAACAAGAUCAUCUUGAACAGUUAAGCCAUGAUUUUAGCGUUAUUCAGUGCAUGCAAUCUGCGAGAUAAUAAUUGGUUUAUUAAAAAUAUACUAGAACUGGAUAUUGCAAGUGCUGAUACAGUCUGUGUUGUGUCAGCCUGAUGACAUCUAAGUGGGUAAUUCACUUUGUGUCUUGUCAAUCCACAGACAGCCUGCUGCUAUAGAGCUCUAAAAUUGAUCCGUUUAACUUUAUCAUUAUCUUAAGAAAGAACUUGAGGAGCUGAAUGAAGUGCUGUGAACUCCAUGUCUCCAUCCAUCAUCUUGUCCUCAGGACCUCGCCGUCUUGCUUUCUUGGAAUUGGCUCCUGUUCAGAAAGAGAUUAAGCAGCAAGUCUUCAAAAGCAAGAUAAAAAGCAGAACUAUGGGCCGUGCUUGGCUGUAUUCAGCAGCUUCUACCUCCCUUCUUGUGGAGCAAGGAGGAGCAGCUGGAGAAGCUGGGCUCUGCAUGAACAAGGCAUGAGGUAGAAGAAAUCACAGAGUUGGAGAGAACAGCAUGCACUGGCAUGCAUUCAGUUACAGCCGUGUGAACAAGCGGAUGUGGUUCAGGGGAAACAUGGGGAAGAUUUCAGCCAAGAUUCCUCCUCAGACACAGAGAUCAAUUUAACUGAUGGCUCCUUUCUUGGAAUCACCAUGCAUCAAACAUCUGAACUGCAAACAGUUUUAUCUCCGAAACAGAGCCUGGGACAGCCCGAGCUGCACACAUAGGCACAACGGCUGUGAGGAGGACACGAGGUGGAUCUGGAGCUGGCAUCCCAACUCAAAGGGCAGCUUGGAAGAGACGGGCUUCUACGAGGAGUCCCUUGCUCUGUGGGGGCCACGCAUGGGAGCUGUAGUCUCUGGCAUGUAGGUAAAGGAUGGCUUAGGUUGGAAGAGACCUUAAAGACCACCCAGUUCCAACCUCCCUGCCAUGCAGUGCCACCCACUUGAUUUUGCUGCCCAGGGCCCCAUCCAACCUGGCCUUGGGCACCUCCAGAGAUAGGCCAUAAGGGAUGGGGCAGAUACCCUAAGUUCCCCCCUCUGGACAUAGUUCCCUUGGAGGACCGUGGUGAGUUCUGCCAGCUUUUGUUCAUGCACAGCUGGGAUUUAUGGGGGUCUGUGGGUGUGGAUGGGUGUGUGCGCAUCCAUCAUACACCGUGCUAGCAGCAGUGUCCCCUUCCUCCCGGCUGCUCCUGCUGCUUGGCCCCUGUUCUGGCACCAAAGUGACAUCCCGCUCUGCCUCACACUCCACCACACUGACUCAAAACCCAACCUCAGCAAAUGCAAACCAGCAAUGCAAAGUGACCCUGUGAGUCCAUACUAGGGGCCCUGCUUUUAAUCAGAGGAUUAGUCUGAAGGAAGAGGAGAGAUCCUUGCAGCCCUCCUAAUUUUAACCAUAGUUAGCGCCUAAUUAAUGAAACAUUUAGCUUGUCUGGUACAUGGGUUUGAGGGGGAGAUACCUCAGGCCAAUCAGCACUGAUGUAUUCUGUUUCUCUUGCACUGAGGCAGAGCAUUUCUAAGUGAUGUGUGUGUGAUUGCUUCCAGAUUUACGAUUUACUUCCAUCCUCUUAAUGCUGGAUUAAAAAAAUUACUCCAAAGAAACUGGUUCGGCAUAACCUAAUUUUCUCAUGUGAAACAAUUUGCAGACCAGAUGACCCCAAACAAUGGGAGAGUUUGUUUCAGCCUGGCUGUUCUUGCUGCAGGCAACCUUCCUCUCAGCUGCCCUUCUGUAACCAAGUGCGAUGACAACAGUCCCUUCCUUAGACUUGUCAGCUCUGGCUGGGGACUUCAGUGCUGUUGCCCUCAGUAGGUUGCAGUGCUGGCAAGCAAAGAGCAUGUCACAGACGGUGGGACUGGAUGUGUCUCAUGCCAAAAAGAGGACUCAAACUUAAGUGUGAGUUGGAAUUUUUUUCCUGCUAAAUACCAUAUUUUCUCAAUUCUGUUAGACUAGCCAGGGGAUAUGGGACGUGGCCUCGGAGCUGGUGCUAAGAUACAGAUGAACUCAAAAGCUUUUAAAACCUUUCUAACGGAAUCUUCAGCAUCUCAGUGUGGGUAGGUUCCCCUAGCAGAAUAACCGGUUCACCCAAGGAGUCAUUGAAAGGUUUCUAUGAGGACUUCUUGGCUGGUAAGGACAAAAAUGUCUUCAGUGCUUCUGUCUGGUGCCUAUGAAAAGAGCCUGAAGUGUGGAAGAGAUCCAACAAUCUGUGUCCACUGUGAAGGCAAUCCUCUGCCAGGAUAUGUCCCUAUUAAUGUGUGGGAAUUAGCUUAGAAUGGAGAACAUGACUUUUAUAAGGCUAAGGAACUGCACACUUGCCUUGCCCUCUUCCUUUAAUUUGUUCACUUAUUUAAUAUAUUCUUCUUGGUUUUCAUGCAACAUCUCAGACGUUCUGCGCCCUGCACAAAAUCCAUAGAGAAAGAGAAUGGAACUCAGCAGAGUGGUGCCAUUAAUUUGGAAUAGCUCACAGGUGCAUUGCAGUGAUUAAAGGUUUCAGCUGAGAUCAUCCAGGGGCUGAAGAUGGAGCAGGAGGGAAUUUUUCAUCAUCCUCAGCUGACUGCGAUCAAAGUCUGGUACCAUCCGCCUUUAGUCAAUCAAACCCAUCAUCAUGGGAUAAAGCUGAAGCUCUGGGUCUAGCAAGGCAGCUUUCUUCUCACUGAGAAGGGGUGCCAAGCCAAGCCUCUGCCAAUUUUCUUGCCCUGUUUGUGUUAUUCUCACCAUUCAUAGAAGCUGGUAUGACAAGAAUGUGUCCAGGACAACUGGAAGGACAGCAGGCCUCAGUGUUUUAUCUGUGUGGCAGUUGGAGUGUAGGAGUUCCCAAAAGCUGGUGCUUUCAGAGGUCCCUCUCCAUCCAAUGCUCUAUUAUUCUUGUCCUUGAGGUUUACCCAAAUCCUUUUGGUGUUUGCCUUUGUAAUUUUUUUUGCAAUCCUUCCAAUUAGCAUCUGAGUAAAUGACACUGUGAAUAUUAAUAUGACUUUUGUUUAUUUCCAGAGACAAUAGCCGUGUGAAUCAGCAGGACUUCACCGAUCUAUACUGAAGAGUUUGGAGUUGCUGAAGCAUGGGAACUGGUGGCUGUGGAGCAGCUCAUUAUACGCUCAUUUUAAUUCCAUCCUUGCAGGAUUGCCAACCACCAGACCAGGCUACCCAGAGCCACAUCCAGCCUGGCCUUGAAUACAUCCAAGGAUGGAGCGUCACCACCCUCUGGAGUCCAUGCUGGAAGGAGAAAGUGGCAGCAGAGGAUAAUGGUGCAGUCAGUACUGGCACAGUGUCACGCCUCGAGCUGAAGAGGGGAAAAUGGGAAAUAAUUUUGAUGUAGUAAUAAAUAUCUGUGGCAUGAAAACCUCAGAAAGUAUUUUCAACUGGAGCAGAUGUGCUUGGGACAGAUGGCUAAUGGUCAGCAGAGCCUUUGGGCUCAAGAGGAAAGUUGAUUCUAUCCUAAUUUUUUUUUUCCGGGCAAAGGAAAACAUGACAGUGUUUCACCAUUAGCAGUUAUGGAAACUGCAGCUACGGGGGGGCAGUUAGAUCCACAUAAAUGGAAUCAUAAGGCCAAGUGCUGGUACUAGCAAGUACCCCUGCAAUGAAAGGUUGCUCCCAUUGCUGCACAGUGUCGUCCCCUGCAAUGGGCUGGCGAUGAGCAGCACAGAAAUACCCAUCUCAAAAAGAGAGUUGGUUGGGUUAUUGCAACUUCUAGUUUUCCUCUCUGACAGUCCUCUGCAAGAGCUUAUUUUCAGUUUCAUGGUUAUGGUGAGAAACAUGGGGUGUUUUGAUUCCUAAUUUAGACUGUUUAUCCUGAGAGAUUCCAGGAUCUUCAUUUGAAAGAUAAAUUCAAACCUUGUUUUUCCUUUGCAGCGUGCAUUCCAUAACAAAAACAUUGCAUGCCAUACUCUGCUACAAGGGCUUGGAAGACCUUCGUAACCAUAAAUUUAGGAACUUGUGGAACAGAAUGGACUUUGGGAUGGAAACAAGCCAGCUGGCCUAUCUGGUCAGGUCCAUCCCUUCUG